UCGGGUAAAGACAAAAUUUAGGCAGGAGGGGAAGGAGCGGGUGAAGGUGGUGGUGGUGGUGGUGGUGGUGGAGCAGAGGGGAGGGAGGGUGGUGGAGGCGGUGGCGGGUCGAGGUCGGGAUCGAGGCUAGAGCGGCGGCGGCCCGGGGCCUAGGGCGGGGCGCUGCUCUGCGCGGGGCCGGAGGACCAGGACCCGUGCUGCGAGGGAGGAGGGCGAGGCGGAACGCAUUUCCACCGUCGUAACCCCCCUGUUAAAACAAGAGUGGGACAAACCAUGCACCGUGCAUCAAAACCGCAAGACUUCAUAUACAACCGCCUCCCAUAUUAGGCCUAUAUAAUGAGAACUAAGACGUUACCGUUCCUCUACUUUCAUGGCGCCCACACCGUCGCCCCGUCGUUCCUGUACUGUCGGUACGGUGUAGGCGCGGUGGCGUGACGGUUCUUCGGGUACACCUAUUAACACGAUGACAGUUAACAAACACAAAGCAACUAACCCCGAAUACAGAUAGGAGGUGCCGCGAUGAGCUGGACAAUGAAGAAACGAAGUUCACAAACAUGAGGGAAGUUCCUAACCGAGGGACGACACUGGGCCGCCCUCGGCUGGCUAGUUCUCCAAAAAAGCAGACACCAAUAGUCCCUAAACGAAAGUUACGGAUACGGGCAGAGGUUCUUCGGUUUCUAACGUAAAUACAAGAACUGUGGACCAAGUAACGGGAAGCUCUUUAACACCCUCUUAAAAAACGUCCCGGUACUCCCUGCUAUAAGGUAGAUAUAGGUACGUAGAGCACUUUUCGGACACGUAAGAUCAGGAAACAAACACCCGGCUCUUUAAGCGUCACUUUUCCAUCAUACCCCGUCCCAAAGUUACCAACUACGUCUCUUUUCCGACAAUCCUUUACGUAACGAUCUGUAACUAUUAGUUAAAAAGCAGAACGAAAGACUGUCGACAUAAGGUGAUGUAUGUAAACUAAUGUAGAUAUUAAUAGACUACCCUUGUUUACAAUCGAAGUAACUGUCAAAGGACCUAGGACCAGGAGUACCUUCACCUUCCAUAAGAUAUCUUUACAAAGGACUUUAUCUCGUGUCCCUGAAGUCCUUCCCACGCGUCACCAAACGAUAUUGUUCUUCCGUACGAUAUGACUAUUACCGUCUGUUGGAGAUGAUGGCAUUUAAGUUCGAUAUAACGUUCGGUUGUCACCCUGCCUUGACAUAGCGACUACUCGUGAUAAACGGUUGGAACAAGUUUUAUCAUCUAGGACCACCCUAGAGAUUAAUAAGUCACUGUGUACAACUGACCAGACUCCCCUUUACCGUAGGCUCCAGGAUAUCUCGACGACUAUAAUGGAUACUUGAGAAUUCUUUGUAUUGCAUAAAGUUACUCUAACACGUGUAACGUUCACUACUCAGACAUUCGUAUUGAUAAGGAUGAAUAGCGGGUUAGUGUUAUAUACUAAAAAGACAAUGAUCCUGAACCACUAUUAAUCAACUAACAACACUAGAUCAUGAACGGAAACUUACGGACUUCUAUAAAAAGCAAAACUUAAAAACGUAAGUACAUGAUCCUUAGAUUGAUUUUGUAUGGAACGUACACUAAUGAUAAAUACCUACAUAAAAAAGGCUUUUCCUCCCCUUUGGGGACCGGAGACGUAGCCAACUACGUUCGUCGGUAGAUAACAACGUAUCAAAGUCGUACGUAUGUUCAGUAUGUUCUCAUGUUUUCUGAUCGUGUUGGUCAACCAUUAUUCUAAUGUGCAAAGGGAAUACGGAGUGAUUAGGAUAAUGGUCUGGCGAUAGGUUACCUGUAGUUCUAUAACACAAGCACAGUAGUCGUCAGUAAGACUUCUUGAGGUAAGGUUAUCAAGUCGCUUUAAAGAUCUACGUUUAUCAGCACAACAUCGUAACUACACUUACUAAAAUGUAUAAAGAAAUAGAUAUAACGUCUCUUGACACUGUAGCUGGGGUACAUAUAACUUGCCUUCUUUCUCUGGCACGAAGGAAAAACGUUCUUUUAAAAUGGGUCUACGACAGUUGUUAGAUGACUUCGAUAAAGGGUCAAUGUGUAGACGAACUUAAGAUGUGCUAAGAAACGGUAACCGGAUCCUAAGGGGAUCCUAAAAAAGAAAAUACAUUUAAAACGUUAACUAUGAAUCGAAGAAUUGUCUCUAGGUCCCGGUCUCUGUACAGCAACGACAUCGUUGAUAUUGCUGUGUGACAGUAAGACCCUGGGAUCCAUCCCGACUACAAUAUAGAUAAAUCAUAUACCUGUGACGGGAGUAACAUUAGGUGACACGGAACACGUACAAAGACAAUCGACAGGUAAAGUAGAAAAAAAGAGUAAGGACAUAAAGAUUGAAAGCGAAAGGAUCAAAGGAUCGAGGGUAGAGAACUCUUUGUCCUCAAAACAGGUCAAGUCGACAAUGAUAUGGGUAGGAAAAACCUGUGUCUAAUACUUUACUCUCGUCGGAAUAUCAGAUCGAACGAGUCAAAACGGCUGUACAGAUAUAAAGAUUAGAGAAACAAAAGGUCUAUGUG
rnacentral:rRNA from 1 species